rnacentral:tRNA from 1 species
GCCCGCGUGGCGGAACAGGUAGACGCUACGGACUUAAAAUCCGUUGGCCGCAAGGCCGUACCGGUUCGAUUCCGGUCGUGGGCACCA